ACGCUAGCUACAGGCUUAACACAUGCAAGUCGAGGGGCAGCAUUUUAGUUUGCUUGCAAACUAAAGAUAGCGACCGGCGCACGGGUGAGUAACACGUAUCCAACCUGCCGAUAACUCGGGGAUAGCCUUUCGAAAGAAAGAUUAAUAUCCGAUAGUAUAUUAAAACCGCAUGGUUUUACUAUUAAAGAAUUUCGGUUAUCGAUGGGGAUGCGUUCCAUUAGUUUGUUGGCGGGGUAACGGCCCACCAAGACUACGAUGGAUAGGGGUUCUGAGAGGAAGGUCCCCCACAUUGGAACUGAGACACGGUCCAAACUCCUACGGGAGGCAGCAGUGAGGAAUAUUGGUCAAUGGACGAGAGUCUGAACCAGCCAAGUAGCGUGAAGGAUGACUGCCCUAUGGGUUGUAAACUUCUUUUAUAUGGGAAUAAAGUAUUCCACGUGUGGAAUUUUGUAUGUACCAUAUGAAUAAGGAUCGGCUAACUCCGUGCCAGCAGCCGCGGUAAUACGGAGGAUCCGAGCGUUAUCCGGAUUUAUUGGGUUUAAAGGGAGCGUAGGUGGAUUGUUAAGUCAGUUGUGAAAGUUUGCGGCUCAACCGUAAAAUUGCAGUUGAAACUGGCAGUCUUGAAUACAGUAGAGGUGGGCGGAAUUCGUGGUGUAGCGGUGAAAUGCUUAGAUAUCACGAAGAACUCCGAUUGCGAAGGCAGCUCACUAGACUGCAACUGACACUGAUGCUCGAAAGUGUGGGUAUCAAACAGGAUUAGAUACCCUGGUAGUCCACACAGUAAACGAUGAAUACUCGCUGUUUGCGAUAUACAGUAAGCGGCCAAGCGAAAGCAUUAAGUAUUCCACCUGGGGAGUACGCCGGCAACGGUGAAACUCAAAGGAAUUGACGGGGGCCCGCACAAGCGGAGGAACAUGUGGUUUAAUUCGAUGAUACGCGAGGAACCUUACCCGGGCUUAAAUUGCAUUUGAAUAAUCUGGAAACAGGUUAGCCGCAAGGCAAAUGUGAAGGUGCUGCAUGGUUGUCGUCAGCUCGUGCCGUGAGGUGUCGGCUUAAGUGCCAUAACGAGCGCAACCCUUAUCUUUAGUUACUAACAGGUUAUGCUGAGGACUCUAGAGAGACUGCCGUCGUAAGAUGUGAGGAAGGUGGGGAUGACGUCAAAUCAGCACGGCCCUUACGUCCGGGGCUACACACGUGUUACAAUGGGGGGUACAGAAGGCAGCUACCUGGCGACAGGAUGCUAAUCCCAAAAACCUCUCUCAGUUCGGAUCGAAGUCUGCAACCCGACUUCGUGAAGCUGGAUUCGCUAGUAAUCGCGCAUCAGCCAUGGCGCGGUGAAUACGUUCCCGGGCCUUGUACACACCGCCCGUCAAGCCAUGAAAGCCGGGGGUACCUGAAGUACGUAACCGCAAGGAGCGUCCUAGGGUAAAACUGGUAAUUGGGGC
rnacentral:rRNA from 1 species